GAAAGAUCCCAGGAAAGCUGGGACCUUCUAGCUGCGAGGUGAAAGUGCUCACUGCCGAGCCACUGCGCAGCCCCAGGAACAAGUCAAAUGGGUUGAAACAGAAUUACAAUGUUCACAGAGUGCUCCAGGAAGUAGAUUACCUGAGGCCAGGUGGACAGCAUUGCCUGCAAUUAGACUCACAAGCAGCAGCAGAGCAGAGAGCUCUUGCAUGGCUCAAGUAAAUACAAAUAACUUAUUUUAAGGUGUGUUAUUGACAGCUAGGUAGAAGCUAUCAAUCAUGCUAGGCAGUUUUGCUCUCUACAUAAGACUCUUUGUCUUUGUGCUGAUGUGUGCAGCUGUCAUGUUGUUUAUCAUGUGUUUGGAUGCUGCAAGAGCCAGUCCCAUAGUAACUAAAGAACACAAUGGAGUGAAGCACAAUGUCCCGAGACGACUGUAUGCCACACGCAAACAACAUCAGCCCCCUUCCUUUGGUCUGCUGUCAACAGAAACUGGGAUGAACAGAGAAACUGGGACAAGCGAGAAUGAUAGAGAAGCCCUGUCAAUUAUUGACCAUCAAUCAAACUCUUUGCGGUUUACACAAGGUAGCUUUGAUUACCAUCAAAACAACCCAGAUAACAGCCAGUCUGGAGCAAGAAUAACCAAAGUGCAGAGAGGUCACAGGACAGGUGGAGUGAUGCCAGCCAGCAGCAUUUUCACUCGUCACGUUCGCCACGGAGGCUUUGACACACGGCAUUCCACAGAGGAUGACUACACGUUCUCUCAGAGAGUAGCUAAAGGUGCAAACUCUUAUAAUUCAUACUCUGCAAUUAUUAGACCCUCAUCUCCAAGUUCUGCUUUUUCACAAAUUCUGGAUGACAAAUAUACUCAGAAAUCUCACAAUGGAGCAAAAGAAGCUAGAAGUGACUCUCCCAAGAUGGGUGAAGAUAUAUCUGUUGGCAAAUUCUUUGAUUCUUCUCUUUUUCCAUCCCAGAUUGGUGGAUACAGGAGUGCUCUACCACCAAGAGUGCAUUACAGUGGCUAUAAAAAGACAAAUGGGCUUCUUGCAGUCGGGCCACAGAGCACAUCAAGUGGGAUUCAAUCAAGCAAAUUUCUCAGCUUCGCAAGUCGCACAGCCCCGCAUGAAACAUCAAUCAUCAGAAGCUCGGACGCCUCUGUUAUUAAAAGAAACCCAAGCCUGGGAAAAAUGACACCAUCCAUUGCAGAUUCCUCCCAGGGGCUGGAUUCGGUGAGCAGCAGUGAGACACUAAGACACAAACAGGUCCAGUCAUAUCUCCUCAAGGACUCCCAUAACUCAGGGACAGGAGAUGGACAAGAAGUUUCAAGUGGACUGAGCAACGCCACCACAAUGCCAUAUAGGCUAAGGCCUUCUGGGUCACACAUUUACAGCAGAUUUAGCUCAAAUUUUAAAGAGCCACACAGAAAAGACCGAACCAAGCAAGAUAAUGUCAAUCUAUUGUAUCCUAACAUCGAUGUGGCUCAGUAUGGCAGUCAGACACGAAGAUUUACCAAUUAUCAACCAGUCUCUAGCAUCUAUACCCCCAAACAUAUCAGAGCACAACCUCCCACUCAAGUCUUCACACAUCCUGCUUCUUUAAAGGGUCCGUUUAUGCAAAGCUUUGUCUCACCACUUAAUGCACAUUCCUGGGAUGCCACCAGCAGUAAGAAAUCUGCUCCAGGAGGAACGAAUGCAACUGCAAGAGAGUCUAUGUACAAACCAGGAUGGUCCACAAAAAGCAUUUAUGGCUUCAGGAGGUUUGAAAAUCCACUAAGCCAUUCUGUCAAAGGAAAAAUCGCCUCUCAACAAUACAAUUUUGAUAAAGGGCAGAGCUAUGGGUUUAAAAUUGCAAAUAAAUUCCCCUCUUUGUCAAGAAAGUACAGCUUUGGCCAGAGAGGAGCAACUACUACAACAUCAGUAAAACCUAAACAAAUACCCACAGAUUAUUCUUCACCUUCUCCUGGUAUCUUAGAUGGAGUUCAAAUGACAACAGUUCCUACAACCACGCCGUUCACAUCAGGCUUUCAGGACAUUAAGCAUCUUCUGCCUCAAAGUGAUGCCAGUGUGGACAGAAACCCCAACCACAGACAACUUACAAUCUACAAAAGAAAGUAUGGUCUGAAAGGAUUUGGCAGUCGACCACUGGAGGGAGCCAAAACUUUAGUUGGGGAAAUAGACGAGUCUGCCACUCUCCAUCAAGGUUUUGAAAGUUUUAAACUACGGAGAUCACAGACCUGGAAACCAAAAAUCAUCAGGGGGUACAAUCGAACAGGUAAACCAGAGACAGAUACAAAAAAUCCAUCCACAGUAAGGCAAAAUGAGCAAAGCAGUAAAGAUGUUAAAACCCUUCUAAAGACUGCAGGAAGCACUGAACCUGUCACCAGAUUUACACCUGACAGGAAAACUCACAUUUUUCUCGGACUCCAGUCUGUUAAAAGCAGAACUGAGCAGGCUCACAGCAAAACACACUGGAAAUACACGGAGCAAAAUCUUCCUUUUAUCUCUUCGGCUCAUCUCAGAUCUGUAGGAGGCCUCAAACUUGCACCCAGUCCAACAUCAGAGCCAAGAACGCUCAACAAAAACAAGCUUGUUGCAAUGAACGCGAUCCUGCACAACUCCUCCACCAGCAGCACUGUAAGAGGCAGACUCGUGAGGGUAACACCCAAGAACAGCAAAGAGCUGGAUCAGUCUAAUUUCACUAACAACACCAGACAUGUAGUCAUAGUCAGGCUGCCCAAGCGCCCUGCCGGUGUUAAAGCCAUCACAUAUGCUGAUAUUCUUGGAAGUGCUUCGUUCAGUGGUGUCAGGGCUACAAACCAGACACCAACAACACCACCUGAUGAUGAUCAUUUCCCAAACAUGACAGCUACAACCAGGCAACAAGUAACGGUGAGUCCCAGGACUUUAAACUCUCCCGAUGGUGUCCGCAGUGGGAAAAACAGGAGCAAAAACCUUGAAGCUGAAGAUGAGAAAGAAGAUUUCAGUAGUGUCGGUCAAAAAGACAACAAUACAAUGAAAUCAGCUGAUGUUUUACUAGAUAAAGAAGGAAGUGGAAGUGGAGAUUUUAAUGUGUCUGAUGUAGGAAGUCUGGCACUUGGUGAAGAUUUGUCAGAGCUAGAUUACCUACGGACAUCUACUGGGAACAUCUCCUUCAAGUCAAUGAAACUGUCUCGUCCAGAUAAGCAAUAGAAAUGUGAUGAAGUGUUCUACAGCUGGAACAAUAACAAUAAAGUAACUCGUGAUUUUGAUCUUGUGCAGACAAUUAAAAAAUAUUUUUGUCAGAAAAGCCUGUUUGUUGCUUUGGAACAUUAUCCAAAUCUGUCUCAUAGCAUUUUUG
ensembl:lncRNA